AUUCCCGUACUUCUUACAAUUGCGAUGGGGGGACGGAGAAGGCUAGGUGGGCCUGGCGACGGUUGUCCAGGUUCAAGUGCGUAGGCUUGAGGGUUAGGUAAAUCCGGCUCUCUCUAAGGCUGAGACACGACGUCGAGCUACUACGGUAGUGAAGUCAUUGAUGCCAUGCUUCCAGGAAAAGCCUCUAAGCUUCAGAUUGUAAGGAAUCGUACCCCAAACCGACACAGGUGGUCGGGUAGAGAAUACCAAGGCGCUUGAGAGAACUCGGGUGAAGGAACUAGGCAAAAUGGUACCGUAACUUCGGGAGAAGGUACGCUCUUGAUGGUGAAGUCCCUCGCGGAUGGAGCUGAUGAGAGUCGCAGAUACCAGGUGGCUGCAACUGUUUAUUAAAAACACAGCACUGUGCAAAAUCGUAAGAUGACGUAUACGGUGUGACGCCUGCCCGGUGCCGGAAGGUUAAUUGAUGGGGUUAGCGUAAGCGAAGCUCUUGAUCGAAGCCCCGGUAAACGGCGGCCGUAACUAUAACGGUCCUAAGGUAGCGAAAUUCCUUGUCGGGUAAGUUCCGACCUGCACGAAUGGCGUAAUGAUGGCCACGCUGUCUCCACCCGAGACUCAGUGAAAUUGAAAUCGCUGUGUGAAGAUGCAGUGUACCCGCGGCUAGACGGAAAGACCCCGUGAACCUUUACUACAGCUUGGCACUGAACAUUGAACCUACAUGUGUAGGAUAGGUGGGAGGCUUUGAAGACGUGACGCUAGUUGCGUUGGAGCCGUCCUUGAAAUACCACCCUUGUAUGUUUGAUGUUCUAACUUAGCCCCGUUAUCCGGGGUGAGGACAGUGCCUGGUGGGUAGUUUGACUGGGGCGGUCUCCUCCCAAAGAGUAACGGAGGAGCACGAAGGUGGGCUAAUCACGGUUGGACAUCGUGAGGUUAGUGCAAUGGCAUAAGCCCGCUUAACUGCGAGAAUGACGGUUCGAGCAGGUGCGAAAGCAGGUCAUAGUGAUCCGGUGGUUCUGUAUGGAAGGGCCAUCGCUCAACGGAUAAAAGGUACUCCGGGGAUAACAGGCUGAUACCGCCCAAGAGUUCAUAUCGACGGCGGUGUUUGGCACCUCGAUGUCGGCUCAUCACAUCCUGGGGCUGAAGUCGGUCCCAAGGGUAUGGCUGUUCGCCAUUUAAAGUGGUACGCGCGAGCUGGUUUAGAACGUCGUGAGACAGUUCGGUCCCUAUCUGCCGUGGGCGUUGGAAGAUUGAAGGGGGCUGCUCCUAGUACGAGAGGACCGGAGUGGACGAACCUCUGGUGUUCGGGUUGUGUCGCCAGACGCAUUGCCCGGUAGCUAAGUUCGGAAUCGAUAACCGCUGAAAGCAUCUAAGCGGGAAGCGAGCCCUGAGAUGAGUCUUCCCUGAUACUUUAAGUAUCCUAAAGGGUUGUUCGAGACUAGAACGUUGAUAGGCAGGGUGUGUAAGCGUUGUGAGGCGUUGAGCUAACCUGUACUAAUUGCCCGUGAGGCUUAACCAU
rnacentral:rRNA from 1 species